UUAAGCGGCUAAGCGUACACGGUGGAUGCCCUGGCAGUCAGAGGCGAUGAAGGACGUGCUAAUCUGCGAUAAGCGUCGGUAAGGUGAUAUGAACCGUUAUAACCGGCGAUUUCCGAAUGGGGAAACCCAGUGUGUUUCGACACACUAUCAUUAACUGAAUCCAUAGGUUAAUGAGGCGAACCGGGGGAACUGAAACAUCUAAGUACCCCGAGGAAAAGAAAUCAACCGAGAUUCCCCCAGUAGCGGCGAGCGAACGGGGAGCAGCCCAGAGCCUGAAUCAGUGUGUGUGUUAGUGGAAGCGUCUGGAAAGGCGCGCGAUACAGGGUGACAGCCCCGUACACAAAAAUGCACAUGCUGUGAGCUCGAUGAGUAGGGCGGGACACGUGGUAUCCUGUCUGAAUAUGGGGGGACCAUCCUCCAAGGCUAAAUACUCCUGACUGACCGAUAGUGAACCAGUACCGUGAGGAAAGGCGAAAAGAACCCCGGCGAGGGAGUGAAAAGAACCUGAAACCGUGUACGUACAAGCAGUGGGAGCACGCUUAGGCGUGUGACUGCGUACCUUUUGUAUAAUGGGUCAGCGACUUAUAUUCUGUAGCAAGGUUAACCGAAUAGGGGAGCCGAAGGGAAACCGAGUCUUAACUGGGCGUUAAGUUGCAGGGUAUAGACCCGAAACCCGGUGAUCAGCCAUGGGCAGGUUGAAGGUUGGGUAACACUAACUGGAGGACCGAACCGACUAAUGUUGAAAAAUUAGCGGAUGACUUGUGGCUGGGGUGAAAGGCCAAUCAAACCGGGAGAUAGCUGGUUCUCCCGAAAGCUAUUUAGGUAGCGCCUCGUGAAUUCAUCUCCGGGGUAGAGCACUGUUUCGGCAAGGGGUCAUCCCGACUUACCAACCCGAUGCAAACUGCGAAUACCGGAGAAUGUUAUCACGGGAGACACACGGCGGUGCUAACGUCCGUCGUGAAGAGGGAAACAACCCAGACCGCCAGCUAAGGUCCCAAAGUCAUGGUUAAGUGGGAAACGAUGUGGAAGGCCCAGACAGCCGGAUGUUGGCUUAGAAGCAGCCAUCAUUUAAAGAAAGCGUAAUAGCUCACUGGUCGAGUCGGCCUGCGCGGAAGAUGUAACGGGGCUAAACCAUGCACCGAAGCUGCGGCAGCGACGCUGAUGCGUUGUUGGGUAGGGGAGCGUUCUGUAAGCCUGCGAAGGUGUGCUGUGAGGCAUGCUGGAGGUAUCAGAAGUGCGAAUGCUGACAUAAGUAACGAUAAAGCGGGUGAAAAGCCCGCUCGCCGGAAGACCAAGGGUUCCUGUCCAACGUUAAUCGGGGCAGGGUGAGUCGACCCCUAAGGCGAGGCCGAAAGGCGUAGUCGAUGGGAAACAGGUUAAUAUUCCUGUACUUGGUGUUACUGCGAAGGGGGGACGGAGAAGGCUAUGUUGGCCGGGCGACGGUUGUCCCGGUUUAAGCGUGUAGGCUGGUUUUCCAGGCAAAUCCGGAAAAUCAAGGCUGAGGCGUGAUGACGAGGCACUACGGUGCUGAAGCAACAAAUGCCCUGCUUCCAGGAAAAGCCUCUAAGCAUCAGGUAACAUCAAAUCGUACCCCAAACCGACACAGGUGGUCAGGUAGAGAAUACCAAGGCGCUUGAGAGAACUCGGGUGAAGGAACUAGGCAAAAUGGUGCCGUAACUUCGGGAGAAGGCACGCUGAUAUGUAGGUGAGGUCCCUCGCGGAUGGAGCUGAAAUCAGUCGAAGAUACCAGCUGGCUGCAACUGUUUAUUAAAAACACAGCACUGUGCAAACACGAAAGUGGACGUAUACGGUGUGACGCCUGCCCGGUGCCGGAAGGUUAAUUGAUGGGGUUAGCGCAAGCGAAGCUCUUGAUCGAAGCCCCGGUAAACGGCGGCCGUAACUAUAACGGUCCUAAGGUAGCGAAAUUCCUUGUCGGGUAAGUUCCGACCUGCACGAAUGGCGUAAUGAUGGCCAGGCUGUCUCCACCCGAGACUCAGUGAAAUUGAACUCGCUGUGAAGAUGCAGUGUACCCGCGGCAAGACGGAAAGACCCCGUGAACCUUUACUAUAGCUUGACACUGAACAUUGAGCCUUGAUGUGUAGGAUAGGUGGGAGGCUUGGAAGUGUGGACGCCAGUCUGCAUGGAGCCGACCUUGAAAUACCACCCUUUAAUGUUUGAUGUUCUAACGUUGACCCGUAAUCCGGGUUGCGGACAGUGUCUGGUGGGUAGUUUGACUGGGGCGGUCUCCUCCUAAAGAGUAACGGAGGAGCACGAAGGUUGGCUAAUCCUUGGUCGGACAUCAGGAGGUUAGUGCAAUGGCAUAAGCCAGCUUGACUGCGAGCGUGACGGCGCGAGCAGGUGCGAAAGCAGGUCAUAGUGAUCCGGUGGUUCUGAAUGGAAGGGCCAUCGCUCAACGGAUAAAAGGUACUCCGGGGAUAACAGGCUGAUACCGCCCAAGAGUUCAUAUCGACGGCGGUGUUUGGCACCUCGAUGUCGGCUCAUCACAUCCUGGGGCUGAAGUAGGUCCCAAGGGUAUGGCUGUUCGCCAUUUAAAGUGGUACGCGAGCUGGGUUUAGAACGUCGUGAGACAGUUCGGUCCCUAUCUGCCGUGGGCGCUGGAGAACUGAGGGGGGCUGCUCCUAGUACGAGAGGACCGGAGUGGACGCAUCACUGGUGUUCGGGUUGUCAUGCCAAUGGCACUGCCCGGUAGCUAAAUGCGGAAGAGAUAAGUGCUGAAAGCAUCUAAGCACGAAACUUGCCCCGAGAUGAGUUCUCCCUGACUCCUUGAGAGUCCUGAAGGAACGUUGAAGACGACGACGUUGAUAGGCCGGGUGUGUAAGCGCAGCGAUGCGUUGAGCUAACCGGUACUAAUGAACCGUGAGGCUUAACCU
rnacentral:rRNA from 1 species